AUUUUUAAAUAGAAAUUGAGUCCAAAUAUCUCUUUAUAAUUAGUUGCAUACUUGUUUGCUCCUGGUGCCGAGAACUUCCUACAGAGAGACGGAGGCUGAAUGAGAGCUUAGAGUAUGGGAGAAUUGGCCUAUGACUCCAAGUCCCUUCUCUGGAUUUGAAGAGUGACUCUGGGCAGCCUCCUCAGCCUUCUGCUUCUAUUUCUCCACCCGCAAAAUAGGAAGCCUACUUCCUGCCCAUCUGGCUUAAGAAGGUAAAGGAAAAUGUAAAAAUUCCAUGAAGCCCUAUUAUGUCUUUUUUAAAUUUUUAUUUCUUUGGCUCUACUGGGGAUUGAACCUAUAGCCUCACAUGUGAUAGUCAAGCACUCUACCACUGAAUACAUCCCCAGCACUUUUUAUUUUAUUCUGAAACAAGUUCUCACUAAUUUGCCCAGGCUGGUAUAGAACUUGAAAUCCUCCUGCCUCAGCCUCCCAAGUAUCUGAGAUUACAGGCACUGAGGAAGGAAAAUAUAACAUUGUUGGCUAUGUAGUUUUAUCCUCUUGGAGUUUGAUUUCCUGAAGGACCCUGUGUUUCUGGAAGAACUUGCACUUCCUCUGAUAUCAAGAACUCUUGGAUGCCAGGCUUCUCCACGGCCAGGGAGCACUGGGGAUCGAACUCAGGACCUUGGGCUUGCAAGGAAGGCAGCGGAACCACUGAGCUAAAUCCCUGGCCUGACAGUGUCUAACUCUUUCAAGGAAGAUACCUGGAAACAGAACAGCUGGGUCAAAAUGAAUUUCUAUUUUUAGUUUUUUAAGGAAUCUCUAUACUGAUUUCCAUAGUGGUUAUACUAGAUCACAUUCUCAAAAGUUAAAAAUUAGAAAAAAACGGGCUGGGGAUGCAACUCGGUGCAAAGGCCAUGGGUUCAAUCCCCAGUACCACACACUAUAUCAAUCAAUCAAUCAAUCAAUCAAAGUGCUCAAAAAGGGCUUAGAGCAGUGUUUUGCUGUAGGAGGUCUCAAGGCCUUUAACAUUCAUGAUGAUGAACUCUGAUCACAG
rnacentral:lncRNA from 1 species